CUCUGUGACAGGGUCCAACAGGGCCUGGUCUGUGUCCGGCCCCCCAAAUCUGUCGUCCCUGCCCCCAGGCAUUAGCAUCAACAAAAGUCAGAAUUCCCGGGAACUUGAACAGAGGCUGCUAAAUUCCCAGUAAUUGCUCCUUUGGCCUUCUAGGGACUGACUUCAAAGAAGGAAGGAAAGAAUCAGGCAGUGCUUCCUCAUUCUCUUUUAAAACCCACUUCCCGCUGAGUCUGCACCCAGGAGACCAGAGAGCACCUUGCCCUUCCAUGGAAACUCAGGCCGAUCUCGUAUCUCAGGAACCUCAGGCCCUGCUUGACAGUGCUCUUCCUUCAAAAGUUCCUGCCUUUUCCGACAAGGACAGCCUGGGGGAUGAGAUGUUGGCGGCUGCACUCCUAAAGGCCAAGUCCCAGGUGAGCUGUGGUUCCCUUCAUCCUUUUCAAUUUUCUGUGCAAUGACAUCCCAUUCAGAGCUUUAAACCCUGAUCUCCUCCAUCAGGCCCAUGGUUCUGUCCUGCCGAAUCAUGGACCCUCACCUUCCAUCUUGGACUCCUGUCUCUCUUCCUCCACCCUGUCCUCCUUUCCUCCCUUCCCAAAUGUGCAUUUUUCACCCCAUCCUCAGUGAUUUUUUUGGUGCCGCCAUUCACAUUCCUCACCGUGAAAUUGCAUGCCAGCACGUGUUGUUUCAGGAGCUGGUAACCUUUGAGGAUGUAGCUGUGUA
rnacentral:sRNA from 1 species